CCUACGGGAGGCAGCAGUGGGGGAUAUUGCACAAUGGGGGGAACCCUGAUGCAGCGACGCCGCGUGGGUGAAGAAGCGCCUCGGCGCGUAAAGUCCUGUUAGUAGGGAAGAAAAUGACGGUAUCUGAAGAAGAAGCACCGGCUAACUACGUGCCAGCAGCCGCGGUAAUACGUAGGGGGCAAGCGUUAUUCGGAUUUACUGGGUGUAAAGGGGGCGUAGGCGGCGAUGCAAGCCAGGAGUGAAAGCCUGGGGCCGAACCCCGGGACUGCUCUUGGAACUGCGUGGCUGGAGUGUAGGAGGGGCAUGCGGAAUUCCUGGUGUAGCGGUGAAAUGCGUAGAGAUCAGGAGGAACACCGGUGGCGAAGGCGACCUGCUGGACUGCAACGGACGUUGAGGCCCGAAAGCAUGGGGAGCAAACAGGAUUAGAUACCCUAGUAGUC
rnacentral:rRNA from 1 species